ACCAAGCUUGCAGUCUUCUUCCAAAGGAUCGGAGAUUUUGAUGUUUUUGGUCCACUUAAGCAGUCUGUCCAUAAAUGCAGAAGCAAUGUUUUCCUGUACUAUAAGCCGUGAUGUUGCACUACAAACUUGACCAGUAUUUGCAAAGAUGCCAAAAAGAGUCCACUCAGCAGCUAUAUCAAGGUUAUCGAUAUCGUCAAACACCACGAUUGGACUUUUUCCACCAAGCUCA
rnacentral:misc_RNA from 1 species